UAUGAAAUCCCGCACGUAUG
rnacentral:siRNA from 1 species